AUGUUUUAGUGGCGACGGGUGAGUAACGCGUGGGCAACCUGCCUUACACCGGGGGAUAACACUUAGAAAUAGGUGCUAAUACCGCAUAACAGGAGAACAUGCAUGUGUUUUCCUUGAAAACCACGGUGGUGUAAGAUGGACCCGCGUCUGAUUAGCUUGUUGGCAGGGUAACGGCCUACCAAGGCGACGAUCAGUAGCCGGCCUGAGAGGGUGGACGGCCACAUUGGGACUGAGACACGGCCCAGACUCCUACGGAAGGCAGCAG
rnacentral:rRNA from 1 species